GAUGAACGCUGGCGGCGUGCCUAAUACAUGCAAGUCGAGCGAACAGAUGAGGAGCUUGCUCCUCUGACGUUAGCGGCGGACGGGUGAGUAACACGUGGAUAACCUACCUAUAAGACUGGGAUAACUUCGGGAAACCGGAGCUAAUACCGGAUAAUAUAUUGAACCGCAUGGUUCAAUAGUGAAAGACGGUUUUGCUGUCACUUAUAGAUGGAUCCGCGCCGCAUUAGCUAGUUGGUAAGGUAACGGCUUACCAAGGCAACGAUGCGUAGCCGACCUGAGAGGGUGAUCCGCCACACUGGAACUGAGACACGGUCCAGACUCCUACGGGAGGCAGCAGUAGGGAAUCUUCCGCAAUGGGCGAAAGCUUGACGGAGCAACGCCGCGUGAGUGAUGAAGGUCUUCGGAUCGUAAAACUCUGUUAUUAGGGAAGAACAAAUGUGUAAGUAACUAUGCACGUCUUGACGGUACCUAAUCAGAAAGCCACGGCUAACUACGUG
rnacentral:rRNA from 1 species